CUUUGCUACACCAUAUACACACUGCUGAGAAUUUUCUGUUAGCCCAGUAAAUAUUCUAACAGUAUAACUUACCUGAUAAAUGCAGAAAAGCCUCACUUUUCUGAUGUUCUGGUUACCUUUCCAGUGUUCCUCUAAGUCCUGAGCUUGGCAGUCUUCCUGAUGCAGACAAGAGAUGCUUUAUAAGUCAUCACAAGAGGCCUUCACAAGAAGAACAGUGAUGUUUAUUUUGGGGAAUUCUAAUUCCUCAGCUUUGGGUAAGUUUGCUUUUAUUUUUAAACCUUUCGACCUCUGCUUCCCUCUUACCUAUUCCCACCUAGUUUGAAUAUUGUGCAAUAUCUCUCCUCCUGGGCUCUCAGAUUUCUACUAUCCUCUGCAAUUUUAUUCCUCUAUCACUCAACCAUUUACUUCACUAAAAUCAGCAGUUUCAGCAAUAUAAAACUGUUAUUCUUUAGUGGAGAAUCCAGGAGACAGGUUAGAGACAGGUUGAUUUUUCAAAAUCACGCUAGUUUUGCUGAAGUGCAUAGUCAGCAGAGCUAUAUAAAACUGGAGGCCAUUGCAUUGUUAAGUUCAAAUUUGUCAUUGAGCUUCUCCAGUAAAGAAUCUAUGAAUGGAAGACUUCAUGAAUGUUUUUACUGUUCAAAAGCCUGUUUUACAGCCUGCCAGCAAUUCAGUAGUUUGUCAAUACAGAAUAUGAAAAACUUAAGCCAAAUAAUUCUUCUAAUUUAUUCUGCUUUUGUGAUAUUUACUAAAUUUAUGUUACAAUCCCAACAGAUCUUAAGAAAAACCUUAUAUCCAUGGUUUUUGGGACCAUGAGCAAAUCAGCUCAUUGUGCACUAGUCUUACAUUAGCCAACUGUUGAUAUAUAUGCUGUAGAAAUAUUUAGGUAUUCAAAAUGCUAUGUCCUGGUAAAAAAUUACAAAUAUUUUUAUGUCUCCUUCUAUUCCAGUCUUUUUUUUGUCAAAUAAUUUGAAAUAUGAAGAACUGGGGUGGGAUAAAUGAGAACACGUGGACCUGUAGUUACUCUGAGUCUCUGCAACCCAUCUGCCAUUUGCUUUGUGCCAUCACAGAAACUCAUAACACAGUGUUCCAGCACUCCUGCAGCUGUCUCCUCAGCAACUCCUGUGUUGUCAUCUGAUUCAACACAUGCUCAAGGAACACUUACAAAGGGAGUUGAGUCAUCUCCUAAAUCUGGACCAUCAUCCUCUGAACACAAAAACCUUCCUCUGCAGGACUUAAGGGCAAGUAUUAACUGGGUCAUUUUGCAUAGGAUGUUUUAGCUUCUCUUACUUUAAAUUACUUGUGUGUCUAACUGAAAAGCACAUAAUUUAGCUGUAUCCACCAAAAUUUUCUUUGUGUCACUUGUGUUACGUAGUGCCAAAUACUUAUUUAUCUUCUUACUUCUGUGUUCUAUUUCCUUUUUUUUAAAUUAUCAUUUCAAAAUAGACUCACAUCUUCACUGGAUUGUUUUUUGUACAUAUAUGUAAUUUCUGUGGACUGUGGCUAAUUUGCUGUCACUCAGGAGCCUUUGAGUCUCAAGGAACAUGACCUCCUGUAUAAUCAAAUUGUUAUUCCAGUUAUUCAUAACGUUAAAAGACAAUCACUGUGAAUAUCAAUCUGACUUAAGUCAUCUGAUAUACUUAGCAUUUAAAAGGACUGAUGAAUGAGGACAUGUAUUAGACACCCUAAAAGUGAGGAAAAAGCAAGAUUAACUGUUUAUGGCUUAUUAUUUUCUUAGCACUAUAAAAUAUCAUACACAUUUUUUGCAUUUUUAAAUGGAUGGACUUGUUUCCAGUCUUUUCUCUGUGCUUGCCAAAAAUGUGUGCUCUGGUAGUUUGAAAACUCUCUAGCACUACUACAAGUGAUUAAUACUAGGAUUUUUUUGGCUUUAUAUCCAAGUUGCUGGGUUACUUGCAGCUCUGAAUAAGAUUUACAUGAAGACUUGUGAAGAGCUCUAUAUCUGAGUUGUAUUACAUUGCUCAAAAUAAAGUUUUUCACCUGACUUCUUCAGUAUAAUUCUUUUCCUGUUUUAGGAAUUUUCAUGCUAGCUCUGUUUUUAUUAAUACUGUCUUUAUUAAAUUGAUAAUAUCCCAAAGUAACACUUUCUGCUUUAGGUUUAUUUUCUUGAUUUAUUUGCUAGCAUGUUUAUCUUAUCCCUCUCUCUUGCCUAGUUCUUUUUUGAUUUAACCUUGAUUUUUUUCCCUUUGUUUUACAGUAAGUCAUGUGCAUUGACAUCCCUAAGAAAUUUAAAGUUACACAGAAGAAAAUGAAACAACAUAUUGAUGGAUGAGAUAGGCAUGAUGGUUUCUCCAUGAUGUUAUUGCAUGUUGAUAAAGGGACAGCACUGUGAAAUAUGAGAUGCAAGUGUCCUCAAAAUAUUACCCUGGUUUUACAAGGAGUUGCACAAGAAGCCAUUCCUUUUCUGCAAAAGGAAGGCUUGAUUAUUCAUAACUGUGAAAACAAAAAGCAACACUGCCAGCAACAGAAAAAUAACUGUCAUAUGUUUCCUGGUUAAUUUCCUUUCUAUUCCAUAAGUAUAGAUAUUACUAUUAAUGAAAAAGAAAAAGCAAACUAUUAUCUCUUGUCUCUGUUUUUCAUAAAUCUAGACAUGUUUUGCAAAUUUAGCUUAAAACAGUCAAACAUCUUGCCCUAUUUUUUUCAUUUUUAGAAUAAACUGAAGUAUUUCAGCUUUUG
rnacentral:lncRNA from 12 species